AAGUGUACAUAUAUAAGGGUUUAGGACUAAAAGAUGUUCUGUAACUCUGUGUGCUGAGAUUUAAAGAUUUAUUUUCUUAGGCCUUUUCUUUUAAGAAAUUUUGUAAGAUUACAUUGAGUUUUUACUUCAGAUUGUAUUGUUUAAGUGAAUGAAUCAUUUUUUGUAGUUUUUCUAUUUAGAGGGUCUUUUAAACUUUUCUCAUAUUUUUAGGUGAAGAUUUGAUUUUUUUUUAAGUGUUAAUUUUAUACUCUUGAUAUAAAGCAUUUGUGGUAUAUGUAAUGAUUUAUUGGGAAA
rnacentral:lncRNA from 1 species